UUGAAAAUUCAAUAUCUUGCCACAAAUUUGAAGGUAGAAUCAGACCCCACACCACAUUGUCACUCCUUACCCUCCUCUUCUUCUCCACCGCAACAACAGCGACGUUACCGCCGCACCGUCAUCUCAAAUCCUUAUCACAUGCCUUGCCUCAACUGGCGACUCCAACUCAUCAUGUCGACAACCACACCGGUGCCUCAGCCCUUCUUUUCUUCUCGAUUUUCGCUAUCGGGUAUCUAUCUAACUAGUUCGCCGAAUCAUUAUCGGUGCAGCAGUAGUUUGUAGGUGGUUAGGUGGUUAGAGCCAUUUGAAAACCAUCUAGAAUAGAGAUGAUGAAUGAUCAGCCACAACAACAACCAGUAUCAAUACAAGUACCAGUACCGAGGAAAAAAAGAACAUCCAUACGUCUAAUGGAUAUAACAGAGCCACAAGAAGUUGAAUUUAACGGUCUUCGUCAGCAUUGUGGCCAUUUUCAGCUCCACCGCAUGCUUCCUUCUUCUUCUCCCCACGUUGACAGUGGGUUUAUCGAUUUCGCAGCCUCCCUUCCAAGAGUGUUUCAGUUAUGGAACUUCUCCCACACGAUCUUCAUCUCUUCUUCUCAACUGCAACAACAGUUCCUAUUGGUUUUCAUUCGAGCUCCUCCGUCUCCUCUUCUUCAACCUCUCCAUCUGUUAUAUAUUGCAUUCACCACCUCCAAAGCAAAUUUCAGUUCUUUUCUACAUAAUUUUCCUCUGCAUCGGUUGAUUAUUGACCCUUUUUUUCCAUUAAGAAGAUACUAGGAUCGAUGAUUUCACAUCGGAAUUUGGCUUCAACUUCACCCGACAAAUCGGGGUCGAUACAAAGUGAGUUUCAUCUGGAACUCAUUUAUUUCUCACGUGUUAAGGAACCAAAUUGAAGAACUUUUCCUUCCAAAUCACAUUUAUUUCCUUCUUCCGGAUCUCACAAGUAAUUGAAAUCUCUUUCUUUUGCGAAUUUCUCCCCUUUGGUGUUUCUGCCCAUGGAAACCAACAAUUCGCCCAGUUAUCAUCGUGUACCUGUUGUAUUUCUCAUGGAAAAAGGUCGGUUAAGGAAAAAAUAUCUAGACUUUCCUGAAACCCACUCUGCAGUUAAUCAGAUAUUGAUACAAUUAUUUGGGAGGAUAAUUACCACUAAUUCCUAAGAUUAUGUUGUUCAUUCCUAUUUAUUCAUCCGACAACACACACACACACAAAGCAUACACAUAAAAAAUCAAGAGAAGGAAGCUAGAAGCUGCUUGACAAUCAAAAGAUCACAUACCAAUGGGAUGGAAACUGUUAACUACAGCACAUGUGUUCUUCUUUAUUAAGUCCAAGUGACGUAAAUUUAAAAGUCAUAGCAAAUGAAGCAGCUGGUUGGAAACAUAGUUGACAUCGCAAAAGGGCUCAGAACAAAAUUUGAUGAAGACCAACACCAACCUAGAAAUCAAAAUGACGGGGGAAAGGGCCAUGAUAAGAGGCCAGAGAUAGUAAACAUCAAUGGGCCUCGCCCAUGCAGCAAUUGUCAUGGCCAACAAGCCAGUGUGACGGUAUACAAUCAAAACAUGCUUAACAUAGCCUUUUUUUCAGCACAAGAGAUGCGUCGGCGAUUGUCGUAGCAACAAGGCCAGAUAAUGAAUGCAGUACCCAACAAGAAACAAAGCAGGAAAUCAGAUCGUGUCAAAGUGAAAGUUUUCAAAAAGUGGAGAAUCGACAAAGGAAAUCAACGGCGAAGCAAAAAUCGCAACAUCCCAGUCACGGAAAGGGCACAGAGAUGCAUUCAGACCACUCGCAACAUCCCAGUCACAGAAAGAAGCAAACACUGAUCCGAAGAUAGUUCAGCCAGACCCUAGAGCAAAAUCGCAAGACAUGGGAAUGCCUAUUUGUGGGCAGGAGCACCAGUCCAGCCUGAAAUCAGUGGCCAAGCCACACCCAAAUGAACAAUGAUUCGAGACUCGAAUCACCUCUUCACCGGUCUUGAAGAUGAACAAAACCCCUUUGGGGUGAAGAAUCCAGGCACUGGUAAAAACACAGAUAGUAACGGAGCAUCAAUCACUCUAGCAUGCAAGCUCCACUAUAGAGGGGAUCCAAGUAGGGUCACUAAUGAUAACAACAAAACCCCAAAUAACCAUGUGAAACGGAAGAUUAAUUGGCACGCGCAGAAAAUGGCAAGCGACAUUCUCACCCAGUCAAGGGGAGGCACACCCUAAGGUCACAACACAUAUUGGGCCAAGGGAAAGGGGAAGUGCGAGCACCAACAGAGCAUGGAAGAUGAAAUUCGGCUCUUUCAUACCUAGUUGAAAAUCAGAGAGGUAGACGCUGCCCAUGUUAAAGAAAAGAAACAACAGAAAUAUCACACCGGUUUCAAAAACACAACAUUCAACAGGACAGGUUGCACCCUAGACUCCCCAGAUAGUUCGACAGGCAGUGAUGGAAGAAAUUCACUCCAUGACCCGAUAGUGGAAAUAAAAAGGAACCCCAAGUUAGCAAGAAACACUUGGAGGAAAUGAGAAAAGGAAACAUGUCUAUGACGAGGCAGCCACAGCAGAGCGCCCAAACAAAAAUAAAACAAAGGCUGAGAAAAGGGAGUAUGGCCAAACUCUGCAUAGGAUAACUAUACUCCAAGUGCCAGCGCGAAGACUAGGUCCGCGCCCUCGCACUUAGUCAUUUAGAGUCUAAUGUUUCAUGUUUUUCCUUUUUAAAGUGAAUAUAAUUUUUGCUUUGAAAGAGCUUUCCAUAAUUCUAUUUAACCAAUUGCAUAAACACAAAGUGAAGAGGUCGUGUAUAUUUUCCAAGUAACAACAAGGGCUGAUCACCUACGCUACUUGAGCAAAAUCUAUACCAGGAUGUAACCAUAGGCCUCAAAGAAUCAUAAUAUUUGCCUAAAACUUGUCAAUAACAUCUCAGAGCUGAGAAUGUACAAACUUUAAUUAAUGGCAUGAAAAAAAGGGGUCCUAAAAAGAUUCAUAACCUUUCCCCUGAAAAUCAGAUAGUAAAAGGUCUUGAGGUGACGAUCUCUGCCAAAACGCAGGUAGCUAAACCUUAAAGUAUAUAGCAAAGAACAUAGACUAUCAUUUCACGAAUUAACAUAAGAAACCCGACUAAACAUACAGUUCAAUGGCUAUCGAAAGCAUAUAAGCCAACUGUAGCGGUUACACGACGUCAAAAAUGCACACUAGCUAAUUAAUGCGAACCCUAGAACAAGGGAAUAUGUAGCAAAGAAUUACAGUAGAAAUGUCAAAUAAUCCUAGUCUAAGGAUAUCACUGGUCAAUGCAAAAUACAGAAAAAGCAUUCAUAUACCAAGUACAAAGCACAAAGUACACAGUUCAAGUCGAUCUGCUUGGUCAACCUCCUGGUGACAAAGCUUACCCCGAUAAUGGCCACACAAGGCCAUCUCCAAGCAAAUCUUGGCGUCGACACCUACAAACACAAACACCAAGCAUGAGAAUUGACAGCCCAAUAAAAUACUUUGUUCUUAUUCUUGUAAAAAGGGGGGAGGGAGAUGAGCGAAUACCAUCUCUCACGACGAAUAAUUGUGCCAUCUUCCCAAGAUCCCUCCAGGCAAUACUCAUGUUAGCUGCGGCAAGGAUCAAAUCUUUCCAGUUCUCCUUGACGACAGUAAUGUUUCCCAGCUGUUUGCCAAGAACUAGUUUAUUCCCAAAUAGUUUGGGAAGACGGUCGGGAAAGUCUCGGGUCUUACGAAACCCAUGCCCCACAAGGUUUCAGUUGACCCAAAGCCAUUGUCUCUUCCAAUUUUUCUUCGAAUUAUCUUGCUCAGAGAUCAACUGAAGAAUGCCUCACCUUUUCGCCAAUGUGCUGAUGCUAGAGUUUGUAGACGCACAAAAGAAGUAACUGAAGGCCCAACAAGUAGGUAUACAGCCCAGGGAACAACAGAUCAGUUCGAAGCCCACAAUCUUAUUGACGGCACUUAGUGUUAAUUCGUCAACAGAAGAGUUGUAGUGGUGUUGUAACACCCUGUUCCUGGUACACAAAUUAAAUCAUUUAAGUAUUUACUUUUGAGCUACUCGAUGAGUUGGUAGCCCUAACUCGUCGAGUAGAUGCCAGAAAGGAUGUUGGGUUUAAAAGGUCUACUCGGCGAGUCCAAGAAUAGACUCGACGAGUAGGUCUGCCAGGAGGAAAUCCUAUUUUCGAGGUUUUGCACCCUAUUUAAGCCACUUAAUCCCCAUUGGGCCUCCCUUACCAACCUCGAUGUUCCCCCCAAAACCCUGAUUCGUUGUGAGUUCCAUUGUUGAGAGAUUAUUGAGAUUUUGAGUGUGUUUUGUGAUAUAGAAGAGACUUGGAAGAUCUUGGAGUUAUCAAGCUUGUGGAAGAAGAUCAAGAUCCAAGAUUCCAUCCAUCUUUGGCAGCCUUUAGAGGUAAAAGGUUCUCAACUUGUCAAUCCAUAGCUUAGAUCUCCUUAGUGUUGAUUUAUGGGUCUUUUGACCCCUUUGAGUAGGAUAAGUUGUUUCUCUUGGGUUGUAUACUAAGCAAUCCCACUUCUCUAUGAUAUUUAGCCUCUAGAACCAUAAAAGAGGUCUUGAAAUCAUUUUUAUCCAAACCAUAGUCAUGUUCAUGAAAGUAGGAUGCUAUAACUUGAGUUUGGGUCCAAUUAAGGUGUGCAAAGCCAUCAAGUCUCCAACUUUAUAGAAAUGGACCAUGGAAAUGACCUGGAUCUAUAUUUUGGAGCUGUAGAAGGGUGAAACCAAUGUCUAGUUUAGAUCUACAAGGGACUCGGCGAGUUCAUAUGGGAACUCGACGAGUCCGAUAAAGGAACCCCGAUGAUGUUCAUAAGACUCGGCGAGAUGUUAAGGAACUCGACGAGUUGGAUGAGUUUGCCCUUUUCUGAUUAUGUCAGGACUCGGUGAGCCUGAGGACGGCUCGACGAGUUGGUUCGUCCAGACGCGUUGAUGGGUAGCGUGGGAACUCGACGAGUCAUAUGGUGACUCGGCGAGUCGAGUCGUGAUUUUAGGGUUCUUAGUUCUAGAACUCAAGGAGUCGAUAGGCCGACUCGGCGAGUUAGGUCAACCUGAAAGAUUGACUUUGACUGAGACAUUGACUUUGACUAGGGAUAAAUGGUCAUUUUACCCCAAGUAGGAUUAUCAGAUUGUGACUAAGUGUUAUUAUGGAUUUGAUAGCCGGAGAGUCGUCGGAGCAGCGGACAGGGAGUCCUCACUUGAGUUUUCAGCAUUCAGUUUUGCGAGGUGAGUUUCCCUUUAGUAGGAACGAAUCUAAGGCACCAAGGCCGGCCCGUAGCAUGAUAUGUUAGUAGCUGAGUGUGGGCGAGGCCCAUAUCUCAUAGUAGCCGAGUGUGGGCGUGGCCCGUAUCUCAUAGUUUAGUUUGAUUAUGGAUAUAUGCCUGAUUUAUAAAAUUAGUUAUACUUGUUGUCUGUGUGGUACUUGUAUGUUGUUCGUAGCUGAGUGUGGGCGGGGCCUGUAUCUCAUAGCAGCUGAGUGUGGGCGGGGCCCGUAUCUCAUAGCAGCCGAGUGUGGGUGGGGCUCGUAUCUCAAUGUAGCUGAGGGUGGGUGGGUCUCGUAUUACAGAGCCAGCAGAGUGUGGGCAGGGAUGUAUCUCCUAGUUAACGGAGUGUGGGCAUGGCCCGUAUCUCCAUGAGUGUGGGCGGGGCCCGUAUCUCUUAGCUGCAUGUUAUAUGUGUAUGGUAUGUGGUAGUUUGGAGGAGCUCACUAAGCUUCGUUCUUACGGUUUUAGUUUUGGUUUCAGGUACUUCCACUAGCAAAGGGAAUGGCUCGGGAUAAUCGCAUGGCACACACCACAGUCUUCAGCCUGGGAGUUUUACUCUGAUGUUUUGUUAUGAGAUUUUUGUUAUGUGACAGAUUUUAUGAUAUUUUGCAAUACAUGACUCACGGUUUUAUUUAUAAUAUUGUAUGGUUUAUGAUUUUAAUAAUGAUUUGAAAACGAAAUUUUUGGGUUGUAUUUGGUGAUGUUUCAGGUGCACAAUCAUAUCAAAGAAGUCAGACGUUGGUAGGCGUAACCCCGCUUCGAACAGAGGGACAUGAACCCCCACUUCCCUCGAGGUCUGUCAUAGAUCGAUGAUCCCUUCGCUGGAAUCAUCACGUCAUGCUCUGACAAGAAACCAAAUUGUUCUUGCAAUAGUCGGAAUUUCUCUACAGUAGGGACUCUGCCAUAACGAUCCAUCGUUAAGAACAGAUGAAUUAUGAAAAAGAAAAAAUCACAAAAUGCCUGAGUCGCUACAACAAAAGCAAGAAAAUAAGGAAAAGGUGAAAGGUCUUUAGUAAAGGGGAUUUUAAAGGUAAAACUGGUGUCACGAACCGUCUCAUGAUGGAUCUGACACAUAUCGACAACACUGUCUAAGUCUGUUGAAUGCCAAAAAUAAUCGCACACAUACACAUGUUGUAAUGUUGGCUCAAACGGCGACGCUACCAGGCUAACGCAUACGCCUACAAGCCUAAGGGACUUGUUAACGUAUCCCUCAGAAAAAUGUUAAAGAAGAAAAGUCAAACUAGCGCCAAGCUUCGCCUAGUUAGAGUCUGGUUAUACUCAGUCAGAGGCCAAGGUCGGGCCUCCGCCUACAUGGACUCACUUGUAUGGCGAUUAAGGGGCAAAACUGCACCUUACCCUCUUCUCCCCAGGAGAAAUACCCUGGAAAACGUGGAUCCAAUCAGAGAGCUCCACUUGCCUAUCUGACGAUAGCCAUAAUCAUCAUUAUAUUGAAGAUUCCCCUCUAUCCAAUGGGGGAACGAGAUAGAAAGACGUGAUGGAGGAUCCUUCAAUACGGAUCCGCCACAUCUCGUCUCACAAAGGAAGGCUCAACAAAUCAGUUAGGAGGCACGUGCCUCUCGAUCAGGUAUUAAAGAACCCACUUCCCUACGGAGAAGGGGACUGGACUCUUUUUCUCUCAUACAUUCUCUAUCUUCUCUCCGGAUCAAUUCUAACUUGAUCGUUGGAGCUUCGUCCUGGGAACCACUCCUGGACGUUGUCAAACGAUCAUCUCUUUUUUUUAUACUGUGAUAUCAGGAGAAGGAACUAGCUCAACACCCACCCUUGAUCUCAAUCCUACCAUCUC